rnacentral:rRNA from 1 species
AUUGAACGCUGGCGGCAUGCUUUACACAUGCAAGUCGAACGGUAACAGGUUAAGCUGACGAGUGGCGAACGGGUGAGUAAUGCAUCGGAACGUGCCCGAUCGUGGGGGAUAACGCAGCGAAAGCUGCGCUAAUACCGCAUACGAUCUGAGGAUGAAAGCGGGGGACCGUAAGGCCUCGCGCGAUCGGAGCGGCCGAUGUCAGAUUAGGUAGUUGGUGGGGUAAAGGCUCACCAAGCCGACGAUCUGUAGCUGGUCUGAGAGGACGACCAGCCACACUGGGACGGAGGCACGGCCCAGACUCCUACGGGAGGCAGCAGUGGGGAAUUUUGGACAAUGGGCGAAAGCCUGAUCCAGCAAUGCCGCGUGCAGGAAGAAGGCCUUCGGGUUGUAAACUGCUUUUGUACGGAGCGAAAAGGCUCUCUCUAAUACAGGGGGCUCAUGACGGUACCGUAAGAAUAAGCACCGGCUAACUACGUGCCAGCAGCCGCAGUAAUAC